rnacentral:lncRNA from 1 species
GAGACUGUCCGCAAAGACCACGAGGAACCAGUUGAAGGUGACGAGGGAGAGAUCCACGUGGUGCUGCCCCAGAUGGGCCAUCAGCCUGGGCAGCUUCUCCGAGAGCAGGUCCUGGAGCACCCGCUGGUCCACCUGGAAGCCAGCGAGAGGGCCUGUCAUCUGCAGCCCCAGCGUAGGGCUGCCUCCCUCCCUGCCCAGCCUUCCUACCCAGUCAGUCCACACACAAUCCUGAAGCUGCUCUGGGCAGGUCCUUUCCUGCCCAGGAGACACCUCGGGGAGCCAGGGGCCAGUCUAGCUGGGAGUCAGGUACAGCAUCAUAUCACUCCGCUGCUCCUAAUAUAGGCCAGAGUCCUCUGGACUGGGGCACUGGGCUCUGCAGUGGAGCCAUGUGGGCUGGCACGUUCUCCGCCCGCUCACCCAUCUGAAUCCCUUGAGCCAAGCAGGAGGUCAGGGGCCAGCUGAUCCUGCUGGCAGUUCAGAGACACUGGUCUCAUGCCCAGGGGCCUUGGCGAAAUGGAAGCUUUGUCUCUAGGCUUAUAUCAGCUGACAACCACAGCCCCUUCUCUAUACCCAAUUUGUGCCUGACACCUAAGAUGCUAGGCGGAUGUCUGGUCCAGGGACAGGUGUGUGUGGGAACGCAUAAUGUCCUGCCUCGCCGGACAUCAAGGAAUCUUCUCAAAACAGGGUGCUCCUGGCGACACUGGCCAGUGACCUCUUCUUGUGACCACUGUCAUGCCUCCGUCCUUGUUUCACUGGAUGGGUUAACCACUCUCAGCACUGGCUCCAAGACAUGGUUCUUUCGUGGUUCUCCUCCUCCCUCUGUGAUGACUCCAUUUCAGUUUCCCCUUGCUUUUCCUGGAACUGCUCAGUCCUCUCCUCUCACUUAUGUCCUCUUCCAGGCAUUAGCGUCAGCUGUGGCAAACAGCCAGUAGCUCCCCUCCUCCCUCACCCAGAACCUUGGGUCAUCUACCGAGGCCAAGUGUCCAGUUCAAAACCUAAGGUAACUCCCCAAGUCUAAGAUGCCAUUGACCUACUGAAGGAUUUAUGGAUGAACUGAUACAAUGCCAGAAAUUUACUUCAAGACAAAGCAGGAGGAGCGGAUGGGAGUUCAGAAGAAAUAACACUGGCUCCCUGGGUUGAUAACUGAAGCCAGGUAAUGGACACAUGGAGGUUCAUUAUACUAUUCCCUCUAUCGUUUUGAAUGUGGGAAAUUUUCCAUAAUAAAAUAUGGAAAAAAGGGUCAUAUAACACACAUCAAUUUCAGAGAUGUUAAGAUGUAAAAAUUAAAUAUGUACAUUUCCUAACUUGCCUUGCAACUAGGGCAGCCAUGAAAUAGUUCUGACCAGUAAACUGCAAGUAGAAAUUGCUGGGUCAGGGAGCCAGCUCCUGGUGUUCACCUUCUGCUUCUCCUGGCCUAGGCCAUGCCCACAGUGCUGGAGGCGAUGCAGCCAUUUUGUGACCAGGAGGUGAUGGGUGUGAGGAUGAAGGCCACCUGCCAGAGAUGGCAGAGCAGGGAGCUAGGAGCCUGAACCCUGCGGUACUGCCUUGUCAUUCACUAUCUGAGAAUAAUAAUCCCCGAUUGAAGCUGUUGUUAGGUUGGGCUUCUCUUCCAUGCAGCCAAAUGCACUCCCACAGUGCAGAGGGAGAAAUGGAAGCCCGAGAGAUUCCCAACUUUCCUGAGAGUCACAGGCUUCUAGGAACAGCUCUGGGGCACUGCCCUACAUGGCUGCAAAGUCCCCUCCUGGCCCCACUUACCUGGGAUGCCGUCAGCGUGUUGCAGUAGUAAUCAGCGGGCAUGAUGGUCUCCACAAUGGCCACCAGGCACCAGAAGGCGCUCUCCUCCUCCUCUAGGACCAGCAGGGCAAUGGCCGCCAGCCUGGAGUAGUAGGGAAGGCCUGGAGUGAUUACAGAAGCCGUGGCCCUGCCAGGCAGCACAUGGCAGAGGUGGCUUCCUGGGUUCCAGGGGGAAAGUCCUUCCAUGUGAGCAUCAGUGCAAUCCCACUCCCUAACCAGAUUUGUGCUCCUGGCACCUGGGGUGAGAUAAACGCUCUUUUGGGGAGGAUGACCGGCGAUUUCCAGAGCAAUGGGGGUCACUUCAGAGCAGGGGCUCUGAAAUCAGGCUGCUUGGGUAAAUCCUGAUCUUGUGGCUUCCUGGGUGACCUUGGGCAAGUUACUGAACCCCUGUAAGCCUCAGUCUCAUAAUAAUCACAGGACUAUUUUGAGGAUGAACAGAGCUCAUUCAGUGCCCCACACAGUGCCUGCCACACAGUGAGCUCUUUAUAAAUGUUAGCUAUCCUCACCUUAGUAUUCACAGGCUUUGAGACCUUGGCAAGUACACUAACCUCUCUGGGCCUUGGUUUCAUGAUCUGUAAAGUGAGAUUAACAAUAUCUAUCCCCCCGGGGCCAAGAGGCAUCUUGAGACAGACCUACCUUGCCUCGCUCACUGCCUGGCAUUUAGGAGGUGCUCAAUGCACAUAGCUUUUUUUCUCCUUUACUUCCCCUCCCCGCCAAGUUAGCAUAAGGCUCUAAUGAAAUCAUGGGUAAGAAACAAACAAAAACCCACAGGGCUGAGCAGGGAAGUCUUCCUGGGAUAAGUACUGUUUUCUCUACUUCUCCCAUCUUCCCUGGCAGCUCUCAUCCCGGGCCAAUCCAAGAAGUCAUUUUCCAAAAAUGUCUUCCAGGGACUACUGGUCUCCCAAGAUGCUAGGUGAACACAAGGUUCUAUAUUCAAAGAUAUCUGGGGAAUGCUGCCCAUUCUAGCCCCUGAGAGGCUUAUGACACACACUGUCUUAGUAAAGCCUCUGAGAAGUCCUGUGGUGACAAAACGCUGUGUGGCUGACUCUAACCCAGGGUCGCCCAGGGGGUCCACAGAGCCCCUGUUGUCCAUUGCACCCAUGGGGGCCUAGUAGAAUGAAUGUUCCUCAGAGGACCCUGGAGAGAUGUCGCUUUAGAAAGCCUCUGACUCUCUGGUCAUAACGAGCAUUUAAGGAACACAUUCCCUCAUCCAGAUAUUUAUGCUUCUUUGGGUUCUCUCUAGAUUGGAUUCAUGACCUCCACCUUCUUUUGAGGCUCACAACUCUUAGAAACAUGGUUGAAUCUCAAAAGAAAAAAGAAAUAUCCCUUCUCUUUCCCCAGUAGAUUGGGAAGGAAUUUCUCCCAAAUUUGGUUCAGAUAUUUGUACAAAACCUUCCUAAGUCGAAGCUGAGUGGAUGAAGAGAACAGUCACAGGUCUCCUGGGAAAUAGGAAGCUCCGUUCUCUCAGAGCUGGUGGGGAGGGACCUCCAUAGGUCACUGAGUUCAAGGAUAGCAAACGUGAGAUACACUGGCCUCUAUCCUUUUCGUCUGUGCCCAGGGCAGACAUAACUAACUGAUCAUGGCAGCAUUCCCUUUGUCUAAGCCCAUGGUAGACAUAAGUAAUUGAUCACAGUACUCUUUCCCACUGAGUCUGAAGGCUGCCUCAGAAACUCUCUCAGGACAGGGCUCCAGGUAGCUGCUUCCUACUGGUCAUCUCUGGUCUAAACAAACUCCUUAUUGCAGUGGUGGAAAAACCAAGGCUUAGAAAGCAGAAGUUACCUGCUCAACAUUACAUAGUCAGUUGGUGGCAGAGUGGAAACAGAACCCAGGGCUCCCAAAGUCUAGCCCAGUGCUCUCUCCACUCUAUCCCACCCUGUUCCCCCUGAGCCUCAGAAUGGCCUCAGUCUAGGGAGUUAGCUGCCAGCAUUGGUUUAGACUUCAGCACAUGUUAAAAACUCAGUUAUCUGAGGCUGGUUGCUAGGGCUUACUAACUGCUCAGGUGUAUGGCUGAAUUCGAACCUAAGGCAUUUAGGGCCCAGGUAGGCUUGCAAAGAAAGGAGUGUGUUGAUGGGGGAAAAACAAACCACUUUUAGAGCACUGUACUUAUUUUCAUAGGUUUAAAACAUUUGCUCUAAAUUAGCAUUAGACCAUCACUAAACAAGCUGGAUUUGUUGCCUUAGAGGCAGGGUCUGUCAUCUUGAGACAUCAAACAUGCAGUUCCUUUUCUUUUCUUUUUUUGAGACAGAGACUCACUCUGUUGCCCAGGCUAGAGUGCAGUGGCAUGAUCAUGGCUCACUGCAACCUCUGCCUCCUUAUCACCUCAGCCUCCCGAGUAGCUAGAACUACAGGCAUGUGCCACCACACUUGGCUAGGUUGUUAGGUUGUUUCUUGUUUUUCGUUUUUUUAAUUUUUUGUAUUUUUUGACAGGGCUUUGCCAUGUUGUCCAGGCUGUCUCAAACUCCUGGGCUCAAGGGAUCCACCCACCUCGGCCCCUCAAAAUGCGGGAAUUACAGGCGUGAGCCACGGCGCCGGGCCCACACAUGCAGUUCUAAUGGCUACCACUAGAUGGCAAAGAAGACGUAUCAGGGACCUGCAGGCUUGGGUUUAGAGCCUCCAAAAGAAUACGUUGCACUUGCCACAUUUGAACAGGCUUUCUAUUAUAAGUAACUUUCUCUUUUUUCGAGAUGGAGUCUUGCUCUGUCACCAGGCUGGAGUGCAGUGGUGCGAUCUCGGCUCACUGCAACCUCUGCCUCCCUGGUUCAAGUGAUUCUCCUGCCUCAGCCUCCUGAGGCAGCUAAUUGUUGUAUUUUUAGUAGAGACAAGGUUUCACCAUGUUGGCCAGGAUGGUCUCGAUCUUUUGACCUCGUGAUCUGCCUGCCUCAGCCUCCCAAAGUGCUGGGAUUACAGGCGUGAGCCACUGUGCCUGGCCUAUUACAAGUAACUUUCUGUUUUAAGCAGUAAAUAUUUACAUGAAUACCAAUUAUCUGCAUUUGCAUAUCAAAUUUAAGUAAAAAUGCUAUUCAGAGAAAGAUAUUUUAGAAAACCCGUCUGGGGACCUUCCGCCUCUCUUGGCCUCAGUUGUCCCUUCUGCGCCUCUCUGUGGCCUGUGUGCUGCCUCCUUCCACACAGGGAGAAGCUUCUCUCCUCCUAUGAGGCUUAUCUCAAGUGCCCCUCCUGCCAUAGGAUUUUUCUCUGCCCCUUCAGCACAGGUUGAACUCCAAAAGCAGGUCUCGAGAAGGUUACAUCCACAUAGGGGAAAGGUUUCUGGGAGGCCUCAGCACAGCCUCUGACUACUGCUAUUUGGAGAGAGAGCAGGUUGUAGAAAGGACUGGGUUUGGGGGCUGGGGGCGGGGGGCCAGGGUGAGCAGUUGGCUGGGUCAGCAUUUGUGGUGAGACAACGGGCAGGUUCCUCAGCCUCUCAGACCCUCUCAUGUCUCAUCUGGGCAUGGUGGCACCAGUGAAGGUUUUUGUGAGGAUUAGAUGCCAUCAGGUGUUAAACACCUGGCAUCCAAGAGGCCCCCAUUAUGCUUUACUUCCUACCUGGCUUUUGUGUGAAAUGCAAAAAUUAUUAUUCAUUCUGAUCUCAUAGCUUCCAGCUCCCUUCACAGCUAUUCUUAGAAGAGGCUUUGCAGGUUUUGUUUCUUCUGGAUUUUAACAUGUUCAAACAAAUGAGAAGUACAGGGGCUUUUGUCAGACUGUUGAAUGAAUGAAAUUUCUACAGACCUGACCUGUGGCAGACGUUUAGUGUGGCAUGAAAUCUGAACAUAUUUUCCAAGGAGGCUUCGACUGAGAGGCAUUACUGUUGGAGUUUAACUCUUAAUUCCCAGGAAUUGUACAUACACAUGCUCAAUUUCACCCAAUUUUAGGCUGGAAAUAGAGUAUGAAAAAUAUCUACCUUUGGGAACCACUCAAAUUUGAGUAAGGACACUGAAUGUUGAUUCUGUGUUAAAUAAAUGUCACACACCACCUAUUCUAAAAAAAAGCAGCAUGGCUUAUGUAAAUUUUGCUUAGGUAUAUGUGUGUUUAAAUUAAAUCGAGUGAAAACUUGCUUUGGGAAAAUAUUUGCAACUAUGCAGCUUCUACUGAAAUAGCUGGGGCUGGAGCGGGGGGAUGACAGUCCCUCACAGUCUUGGAGGGGAGAUAGCCCUGUGAACCAGGUGACCUCAUCCCCUAACCCCAGUCCCUCCCUGCGUCCCCUACCAAUUGGACCAGAAGUGGAAAUUAUUCCUGGCUGGGCCAAUCAGAUUUUUUCUUUGGGGAAUUUAGAACUGGAACAUGAGGGGUGGGGUGGGAAGACUCACUGAAAGGCUCAAGACUCAGGGGCUGAGGUCUCCAUUCUAACAGCUUCGAUGGUCCCUAAAUGUCCAAUGAAUGAAUGGACAGAGGCUGGUCUGCUGAGAGAGAAGGAAGCAGACACGCAGAAUGAAGAGAGGCCAGAGGCCAUGCAGCUGCAGAGGGCAGCAGAGCAGUACCUUGGUGCUAUACGAGCUCAGGUCAUGGCAUCCCAGGACUGUGGCAUGAAGGCUGCCCCCUGGGGUUGUGCAGGGGUGCAGCCCUGCUGCAGACAGCAGCUGCCUUGGCUUCCAAUGACCAUCUGGUCCUCAGCUGUGUUUUCUUUUCCUGGCUUCUGUGAACUCCCCUUGUAACAUUUAGAAAGUCUCUUUUCCCCGGGUCUUCUGCAUGGGUUUCACUGAAAGCGAAUGAUUCCUGAUCCAGAGAGUCCUGCCAUAUGUGAGUGGGGCCUUACCCUGUAGAUUCCAGCAGGCCAAAGUUUGAGAGGCCAUGUAAGUUGUACGUCCCCAAGCACAAAUCAAAGGAGAGAGCAGGGACGAGGGGCCUGGAGCUCUGAGCUCUGGCCCAUCUCUGUCUUGAACAUGUCCUCUCACCAGCCUGUGGGUGGGGAACCUAGGCUCAUGUCUUCAGGUUCUUGGGAGGCUCCAAAGAGAGACAGCAGUGCUCUAAAACAACGGUCCCCAACCUUUUUGGCACUAGGGACCGGUUUCAUGAAAGACAAUUUUUCCAUGGACUGGGGUAGGGGAGGGGUGGCUUUGAAACUGCUCCACCUCAGAUCAUCAGGCAUUAGAUUCUCAUAAGGAACACAUAACCUAGAUCCCUCGCAUGCAGAGUUCACAAUAGGGUUCACGCUCCUGUGAGAAUCUAAUGCUGCCGCUGAUCUGACAGGAGGCAGAGCUCAGGUGGUAAUGCUCUCUCGCCCACUGCUCACCUCCUGCUGUGCGGCCCCUUAACAGGCCACAGAUGGCUGCCUGUCCACAGUCUGAGGGUUGGGGACCUGCGCUCCAAAAGGUAAAGAUCACACCUUCACUGGGCUUUGGUGGCUUACCUGUUCAGGCCCUGGCAGUAGCCGAUGGUGGGGUUCUGCCAGGAGAAGGCCAGCAGCACCCGGCGGAGCUUGUCGGGGAAGCCGGUGUUCACGGGGUACUCCUGCCCGCAGUAGCUGCUUGAGCUC